AAGGGGUGACGGCGUACCUUUUGUAUAAUGGGUCAGCGACUUACGUUCAGUAGCAAGCUUAACCGUAUAGGGCAGGCGUAGCGAAAGCGAGUCCGAAUAGGGCGUUCAGUUGCUGGGCGUAGACCCGAAACCAGGUGAUCUAUCCAUGGCCAGGAUGAAGGUGCGGUAACACGUACUGGAGGUCCGAACCCACUAACGUUGAAAAGUUAGGGGAUGAGCUGUGGAUAGGGGUGAAAGGCUAAACAAACCUGGAAAUAGCUGGUUCUCUCCGAAAACUAUUUAGGUAGUGCCUCGUGUCUCACCUUCGGGGGUAGAGCACUGUCAUGGUUGGGGGGUCUAUUGCAGAUUACCCCGCCAUAGCAAACUCCGAAUACCGAAGAGUGCAAUCACGGGAGACAGACAUCGGGUGCUAACGUCCGGUGUCAAGAGGGAAACAACCCAGACCGCCAGCUAAGGUCCCCAAAUAUAGCUAAGUGGGAAACGAAGUGGGAAGGCUAAAACAGUCAGGAGGUUGGCUUAGAAGCAGCCACCCUUUAAAGAAAGCGUAAUAGCUCACUGAUCGAGUCGUCCUGCGCGGAAGAUGUAACGGGGCUAAGCUAUAUACCGAAGCUGCGGAUGCGAGCUUGCUCGCAUGGUAGGAGAGCGUUCCGUAAGCCUGCGAAGGUGCCUUGUAAAGGGUGCUGGAGGUAUCGGAAGUGCGAAUGCUGACAUGAGUAGCGAUAAAGGGGGUGAAAGGCCCCCUCGCCGUAAGCCCAAGGUUUCCUACGCAACGUUCAUCGGCGUAGGGUGAGUCGGCCCCUAAGGCGAGGCAGAAAUGCGUAGCUGAUGGGAAGCAGGUCAAUAUUCCUGCACCAUUGUUAGAUGCGAUGGGGGGACGGAUCGCGGAAGGUUGUCCGGGUGUUGGAAGUCCCGGUCGCUGCAUUGGAGAAGGCGCUUAGGCAAAUCCGGGCGCGUAAUUCAAGGGUGUGGCGCGAGCUCCUUAGGGAGCGAAGCAAUUGGAAGUGGUUCCAAGAAAAGCCUCUAAGCUUCAGUCUAACGAUGACCGUACCGCAAACCGACACAGGUGGGCGAGAUGAGUAUUCUAAGGCGCUUGAGAGAACUCGGGAGAAGGAACUCGGCAAAUUGGUACCGUAACUUCGGGAUAAGGUACGCCCUUGUAGCUUGACUGGCCUGCGCCAGGAGGGUGAAGGGGUUGCAAUAAACUGGUGGCUGCGACUGUUUAAUAAAAACACAGCACUCUGCAAACACGAAAGUGGACGUAUAGGGUGUGACGCCUGCCCGGUGCCGGAAGAUUAAAUGAUGGGGUGCAAGCUCUUGAUUGAAGUCCCGGUAAACGGCGGCCGUAACUAUAACGGUCCUAAGGUAGCGAAAUUCCUUGUCGGGUAAGUUCCGACCUGCACGAAUGGCGUAACGAUGGCCACACUGUCUCCUCCCGAGACUCAGCGAAGUUGAAGUGUUUGUGAUGAUGCAAUCUACCCGCGGCUAGACGGAAAGACCCCAUGAACCUUUACUGUAGCUUUGCAUUGGACUUUGAACCGAUCUGUGUAGGAUAGGUGGGAGGCUAUGAAACCGGAACGCUAGUUUCGGUGGAGCCGUCCUUGAAAUACCACCCUGGUUUGUUUGAGGUUCUAACCUUGGCCCGUGAUCCGGGUCGGGGACAGUGCAUGGUAGGCAGUUUGACUGGGGCGGUCUCCUCCCAAAGCGUAACGGAGGAGUACGAAGGUACGCUAGGUACGGUCGGAAAUCGUGCUGAUAGUGCAAUGGCAUAAGCGUGCUUAACUGCGAGACCGACAAGUCGAGCAGGUGCGAAAGCAGGUCAUAGUGAUCCGGUGGUUCUGUAUGGAAGGGCCAUCGCUCAACGGAUAAAAGGUACUCUGGGGAUAACAGGCUGAUACCGCCCAAGAGUUCAUAUCGACGGCGGUGUUUGGCACCUCGAUGUCGGCUCAUCUCAUCCUGGGGCUGUAGCCGGUCCCAAGGGUAUGGCUGUUCGCCAUUUAAAGAGGUACGUGAGCUGGGUUUAAAACGUCGUGAGACAGUUUGGUCCCUAUCUGCCGUGGGCGUUGGAUAUUUGAAGGGGGCUGCUCCUAGUACGAGAGGACCGGAGUGGACGAACCUCUGGUGUACCGGUUGUCACGCCAGUGGCAUCGCCGGGUAGCUAUGUUCGGAAGAGAUAACCGCUGAAAGCAUCUAAGCGGGAAACUCGCCUUAAGAUGAGAUAUCCCUGGGGACUAGAUCCCCUUGAAGGGUCGUUCGAGACCAGGACGUUGAUAGGUCAGGUGUGUAAGCGCAGUAAUGCGUUCAGCUAACUGAUACUAAUUGCCCGUAAGGCUUGAUCCU
rnacentral:rRNA from 1 species